rnacentral:ncRNA from 1 species
UCAAAUACUGUGACGAGGAUGAGUAAAUUAUAAAAGGCAUUAGCAGCGAUCCGGAACUGGUGAGAGCCCGGAAAUGCAUAAUAAUUGAAGUUCCCCUCUGAGUUAUCGGUUGAAGGUAUUAGUUUACUUGUAGGCUGGAUCGGUUAUUCCUCCGUUAAAGGGAAAAGUGUAUCGGAUAGUACACGUUGUUUAUCCCGUACAUAUUAAGUGGGCAUUUUUGCCAAUUAAGGUGGUACCGCGAAGCUACUCUUCGUCCUUUCA